UGGAGUGUGUGUGCGUCCCUCGAGCUACGCGCAGACCUGCCCAGUAAAUACGAAGCUUCCGUUCCCCUGUGCGUGUCGAAAGAGUGCGUAGUAAAGGAAGAAAAGUCUUGUCUCUUCGGCAUCCCGUAUCACCGGCGUGUCCAUCAUGCCGUUGAGUAUUGGGGUUAACUUAAGAGUGACCGGACACUGUAAUCAGGGCGGUCGUAAGUACAUGGAGGACAUGUUAAGCGUGGCCUUUCAAUCGACACCGAAUGACAAAGAUCUGGAAUAUGCCUUCUUCGGGAUAUUUGACGGCCACGGUGGCGGCGAAGCGGCUACUUUUGCCAAAGAACAUUUAAUGAAAGUUAUCGUGAAACAGAAGAAUUUCUGGAGUGAUCGUGACGAGGAUGUGCUUCGAGCUAUCAAAGACGGAUACGUGAACACGCACUAUGCGAUGUGGCGGGAGCUUGACAAAUGGCCAAGAACUGCAUCUGGAUUACCAUCUACUGCUGGGACCACAGCUAGUAUAGCUUUCAUUCGUAAAGGCAAGAUUUACUUAGGCCAUGUAGGAGAUUCUGGCAUAAUACUAGGGUACCAAGUAGAUGGUGACUCACAGUGGCAUGCUGAAGCUUUAACUAAGGAUCAUAAACCAGAAAGUGGGCCUGAAAUGAUGAGGAUACGUGAGUCUGGUGGUAAAGUUGUUAGCAAAUCUGGGGUUCCAAGAGUUGUUUGGAAUAGACCUCGUAUAGGACACAAAGGACCAGUUCGAAGAUCGACUCACAUAGAUGAAAUUCCUUUUCUUGCUGUUGCUAGAUCUUUAGGUGAUCUUUGGAGUUAUAAUUCUGAAUUGAACACAUUUGUUGUAUCUCCAGAACCAGAUGUUAAAGUAGUUGCAAUUGAUGUUGAAUCACAUCGUUGCCUUAUUUUUGGAACAGAUGGUUUAUGGAAUAUGUUAACACCUCAGGCCGCAGUAGCUAUUGUUCAAGCUGCAGAUAGACAUAAUGAGAAACAUCUUAUUGCUUCUCAACAAACAUGUAAUGGGCAAGCUGACAAUGUUCAACUAUGGAUAAACCCUUCAAAAAGUCUGGUAGAUAGAGCAUUGGAAAAAUGGUCAUCAAAACGACUACGUGCAGAUAAUACAAGCGUGAUUACAUUAAUGCUAGAUCCAACAGGUCCAUCUCGUAGUGAGGUUUUGCUCAGCCAGAAGGAAUGUGUUGUAACACAUGAUAUUAUUCAUACACCUGCACCUACAAUUGCUGAUAUUCCAGAAAAACUUAGUUGUAACCCUGGUUCUCCAAGUGUAUCAAGACCAUCCCCUAUAAUAACCCAUGAUAUUGACCUUAAAAAACCAACUAUCUCUGAUGAAGUUAAGGAGAAUAAAGAAGAAUCAAAUGUGGAAGAUACAUCACUUAUAGAAAAAAUAGAAGAAAAUCACAAUCAAAAGAAUGAAACACGAACGAAUAUCAAGGAAUCUCUUGUAGAAGAAAAUCUUCAAGUUGUAGAAACAUCAAGUAGUGAAAUAUUAGAAAAAAGUAUAGAUGUAGAUAAUGUCGAUCUUGAUACAAUAUCAACUGAAAAUGUUAAAAAACAAACAAAAACGACAAAUGAACCGCACGAUAUACUAAUUCAAGAAAAGAAUUUGGCAUCUCAACAGUCAUCUGAAACAGAAAAUGUGAUACACCAAAGUGCAGUUUCUAGUGAAUGUGAUGAUACACACACCUCCACAAUUGUUACUAGUAACGCGGAGAGCAAUGAUGUUAUGUCGGGAAGUAUUAUCUGUAGUGAAAACGAAGUAAAGACUAAUGUAUUAAAUGGAUCACGUCAUAAACAGCCCAUAUUGUUCUCCGCUUCAAAGAAGGAAGUUAGAAAUACAAGAAGGCACAGUUUGAGUGCACAUUCACGAAAUACCCUCGUGGAUGCGGGUUCGUUAGAAACGAAAACAUAUGUAAAUUGUAGGCUUAAGUCGCGUAGUACAAAAGUGUCUGUGACGGGGAAUGGAGUGGAGGAAGGUGUUUGGAACUCUGCAAAUAAAACGAGCGGUAGUGCUAUUGGUACUAAACGAAGACAUAGUGCAAUAUCACAGAGUGUAGUUAACACAGCUGAAGAAUCAUGUAUAUUACAAGAGCCAUGCAUUAAAAGGAGAACGCGUUCGGAGGAUCGUCCGAACCCGGUUGACGAGAAUGAUCCAGCGAAUCAGGCUACGAAAGAUACAAAUAAUAGUUUGGGUUGGCCUACCGUGGAAUCCAACAUUACUCGUGCUACGGCUGGUGCUAUCACUGUACCUGUACAGGAAAGACUAUCUUCGCUUAAUAGUUUCCAAAGAAAUUUGGGAAAGAAAGCUACGCCAGUGAAGGCUAUCAGAAGACCGUCUAUUAAAGGUCUGUUGAAACAAUUGUGGGCUGCUAGUCUCGGUGCAAGAGAGUGGGAUCAGGGAAGAAGUAGUCGUUCGAAUAAUUGCAACGAGCAGAGGAUAAAUCGAACUGUGUCUAUUAUAGGUUCUUCGGAUAAUACAACUGUUCCGCAACGUUGGCUCAGGUCGGAUACCAUUGCGGCGACACCUGUAAAAACACUACGUUCACGUAAUGUAGACAUAACUGGUCACACAAUAUCUGCACAAUUAGUACAUCAGUAUGGAAUAGUAAAGCAAAGUCGACUUUCAUUGCCGAGUAAAUUGAAACAGCGUAGUAAUAAUGGAUUUCUACAGUCAAGUAGAGUAAGGUCUUCUUCCUUGGCGUCCAGUAUAAAGCAAACUAACAGUAAUACUGGGAACGGAGCUUGCUCUACGAUUAGUCCUACAAAUACGGGAUGUAAUUCUAGUUCCGGAAUGGCUAAGAGAGUUAAAUCACCUUAUAACCCAAGUGCUAGAUCAUUAAGCACGCGAUCUCGUAUGAAGCGCCUUGGAAAAUGAGCUUAUCGAGGUGUUGAUUAUAGAAGAGGAAGUUCGAAAUAAAAAACUAAAUAUGUGAACAUAUGUAUAAAAUGUGUGACCACAAGAGGAGUAAAAGAGAGAAUGACUGUACCGACAAAGUGCGUAUGUGAUUUGUAGAAAUUAUUUCCAAUAAUUCCUCUAAGUGUUGCAGUCUUCUAUGAGGAAAUGACCUUAAGGGGAUUAAUAAGUCGUUAAAGAGAAAAUGUGACUUGCUUUUGCAGUAAGGUUAAAAAUUAAAAUAUACGUAGACAGUGCAAAGAAACAUAAUUAUAUCAAAGAAUGAAGAAGAGUAUGAUAUAAAGAAAAAGAAAGGAAAUAAUGACACGUGCCUACAAUAGUUACCAUUUAAAUGUGUGUGUGUAUAUAUAUAUGUAUGUAUGUAUAAAGUGUAUUAAUAUAUCAUGGGCCAAGAAGAAAACACAUUUUUCAUUAUCGUAACAGAAAUAUAAGUACCA